UGUGUGUGUGUGUGUCAGUGAGAGGACAGAAGAGCUCACAUCACUUCAGCUUCAACAUCAACCAUGUUCUCUGUGGUUCUGAUACAGCUGCUGGCAGCUGGAUCCUGUGUGUACAGUAUUGAUCUCAUCCAGCCAGACUCAGUGGUUGUGCAGCCUGGACAGUCUUUGACCAUCACCUGUCAGGUCUCUGGUUAUUCUCUGACUGAUAACAGCUACGCAACAGGUUGGAUCAGACAGCGUGAAGGAAAACUGGAGUGGAUUGUUCAUCAGUGGGGAGGAGGUACUCUUCGUCAAAACAAUGCUCUGAAGAACAAGUUCAGUUACAGCAGAGACACUUCUGCAAGAGCAGUGACUCUAAAUGGACAGAAUGUGCAGCCUGAAGACACUGCUGUGUAUUAUUGUGCCAGAGAGUCACAAUAA